rnacentral:lncRNA from 1 species
UAGUGAACUACCUCGGCCAACGCUGGCCGAAGGAGAGAGAAUAUAGAUCGGGAACGGGAAAUCAAGCAGAAAAUCAAGCCGAAGGAACGGAUUAAGGAGGAGGCCGGCGGCGACGUUGAUCCCCCUUUCACCGCUCUGAUCUCGUCCAAGACUUUGGUUCAUUUGAGGCAACAUUUGACGGAAUAGUGCCAAAAGACAAAGUAAAUUUAUUCUUCAACAGAAGAAUGUCUGCAUGCUAGAUGCUACUUCUAGAUUUUAGUAUUGCACUUGUUUUGUGUUCCUUGUGGAAUAUAAGGUUUCUUCAAUUCAGUAUGUACAGGCCAUUAUAGAUGUCAUGUAUUCGUAAUGGGCUACUAUUGAUUAGUAAUUCCUGGCAUGCAUUUAUGUGUUUUUCUUAACCUGAAUGGUGUUACACAGACCUUGGUUCUAGUUCCUAGUAAACUUUUAUAUGCAAGUGAGCUAUGCUAAGCUGAACUAUGCUAUUUUAUUUUUGGAUAGGAACCUUACGUCUUUGCACAAAGUAAUUUCGUCCAUGACAAGUAGGAAUUUCUUCUAAGCUAAUAUAAAUGUCUUUCAGCAAGGAGGAAUUUCUUCCGUACACACAGAAAUGUCUUCUGAGCACGGAGGAAUUUUGUCCCUAAACCACGGAAUUUUGUCUGUACGCACAGAAAUUACGUACGCAUACACAGAAAUUUCGUCCAGGACAAGUAGGAAUUUCUCCUAAGCUUUCUGAGCACGGAGGAAUUUUGUCCCAACAUAUAGUCUCUAGGAGGAAUUUCGCCGUUGAAGGAGCACCGCAAAACCAUAAUAAUUUCCUUGAGUUGGUACUGUCUGCUACCCUAGUUUUCUGCACAAAACAAAAGAACAAUGAAUCCCGUUAGUAACAUAAUACCAUGGAGCUGCUAUGCUAGAACACUUUAGCUAGUCAAUAAGUGGAUGUCUCUGGAUCUUUUGGAAAGCAAGGAAUGACGGAAUUUUGAACAACCACCAUUGAGCCUAAAACAGGCGUCCACACUUAGCAUCUGAAGCUGCUUCUUUUCUUUCUUUUUUCUUAUUCUAAUACUCUUUGUAGUUGUUGUAAAUGUAAAAACCAAAAACAGGCUUUAAGCCCAAAAUGAAGUAUAUAAGACAGAGAUUUCUUAAAAACUUUAAAAAAAGUGGACUGCAGAGGUUUCACUAAAAUACUUCUUCUGCUCAGAUACUAUAGCUGCGCUAACAGCCCAAGAACGCACGACUCCAACGCAGGGCAAAAAAGAAUCUAUUAGCAUGUGUGCCUGAUUUACCAUUUAAGAAAACAGGCUCAAACCUGAAGAAUGAAUGAACAUGUCAAUAUUUACCUGAAGUCAAUUGUCUCUCAGGAUGGAGGUCAUUCCAUUGGUGGCAAUAGAGCCGGUGUGCCAGUUCGAUUCUGUAAGGUUCCAUGUCCUGCAAGAUCAAGAAGCAAACAACAAACUACUUAGUUAAUAGUCACAUAUCUCAUUAUAUAAUAUAUAAUAGAAGUUUCAGUUACCGCUGGCAUCUCGACUAGUUCCCUCCCCUUAUGGCAUUCAAGCGCCUUUAUCACAAACAUACCACAAUCAUUGUUAGGACAUAAAAAACCGUGGCGAUGAACUCGGCGUGGCUGGUACGUGUAUGGGCGCGCACCGGGCACGUCGGGUGCAUCGGGUUCACGGGCUAGGUGUGCGUGUGUGAGCGUGUGUGUGUUGCACGGGGUGACCAAGCACUCGCGCACAGUAGGCGUAGGAAUACAAGGCAGGCAGUUAGCUAGCUAUACGGCGAUCUCGCGCAAGUCCGUUGGAGCUGGCCGCGAGCUGCGCGCGGGAACGCGUCGUAGCGGAGCGAGGCGUGCGGAUCGUGGGCGCGAGAAGGCAGGGAAUGAGGGUGCGUGCCCGGUCACUUGCCUGGGUAUAAAGCUGUAUGGUUACGUUGUACUGGAGCCGGCAAUUGAGUUCAUGCUCAAGAUAAAAAGGAAGCCGUUCGUGCGGCUGUCGUGCGCCAGGAAACUUCCUGUGUCCCUUUUCUUCUUCUUUCCCUGAUCGUUUGACGAGAGUGCAGAGAGACAGGGAGAGGUAGGGCUACGGCCAGCUAGGGCAAGAGCUGGGCUACUCCAACAAUCAUGACUGGGAAAUAAAAUGCCAACAAAUUAGGUUUAUGCUUUCCGAAAAAGAAAAAAAUAGAAUCAGUUCUAUGCUGUUUUCAACAAACCAUUGAAGCUAACUAGUGUAUGGCAUAACCCACCUGUUUUCCUGCUCCGGAAAGUCUGGAUACAUCACUUGGAGGUCUGUAGCAGCUGGUAUAUUGAGGAAUGCUGUUGCAGGGUAGUUCCUUAUUUCAUCAAUCUGCGAAGAACACAUCAUGUCAAAGAAAUCAAAUAUGUUACAGUAUUUUAGAGCCCUAACAUCCAUAGGUACAGUUAAGCAACAGACUUUACCAAUGUGCCCAAGAAAACUGGAAGUGUGUCCCUUUUUCCCAGCGAGUCAUAGAUCUCAAUAUAUUUCAGAUCAGCAGCUAGAUAUAGUAUUGCAAGAAUCCAGUAUUUACUAUUUAAUGAUGGCAGAUACAGCUGCAAGUAAAUUGUUGGAUUAGCAAAGUAAUUUCAUAUUCGAAUUUCAAAAUGAUUUUGCUAGAAUAUACAUUUCCUCAUUGUCUUACCGUCUCAAGAUCAGUUUGUGGAAUCUGACGGAGACAUUGAUGUAAUCGUCCAAGAUUGGCCUCUGGUCCUUGUGCCUCAGUCUGUUUUGGAUGCAAACAAAAUUUUGUGAGGUUUUAACUCAACACCAAUUGGAAAAAAAAAACUGUAUUGGUACGUACCAAUGCAACUGGAUCAAUGAUAAACCUUUUCGGGUCAUUCCAAUCCGCCAUCAUAGUAUGUGUGCACAGCGACAUGAAAGAGACACUUAUCUCGCCAUCAACCUUCAAAUUUGCACUAUAUUCUCCACAAGUUAUAUGAUGACCUUUAAUUAGUACAAGUGUGUCAAGCUUUUUGUGAUUUGCUACUUCCCCAGCCACAAACUUCGCGUAAACAUCUUCAGGAGUACACCUGUUGGAGACUUGAUGGAUCUCUUCAGCUUCCUGCUGCUUGUGAUUGGGAAAUUUCUCACCAUGUGGAAUAGGACUAGCAAGAGAAGAAAUUUGUCGACGAACUUGUGCAGUCAAGCCAUCAUUUAUCACGAUUGCGGCGUUCCCCGAAGAGGUCCCUAAAGAGAUUGUCAAUAUGUCAUGUGUCGAUCAUAACACAAAAAGCGUAUGAAAUUUUGAAAAUAGCUUAACAUUACCAGAUUUUUCGAUCGCUCCAAAUGUUUGAUCGAACGCGUAACACAUCAUUUUUAUCCUACCAUCAUAAGCUUG